UUCGCCUGUUUAUCAAAAACAUGUCUAUAUGAAAUCUACAUAUAUAGUCUGGCCUGCCCACUGAAUUUUAAAGGGCCGCGGUAAUUUGACCGUGCGAAGGUAGCAUAAUCAGUAGUCUUUUAAUUGGGGGCUGGAAUGAAUGGUCGGAUAAAAGAUGAGCUGUCUUUUAAAUAAAUUUAGAAUUUAACUUUUGGGUGAAAAGGCCCAAAUAAGCUAGGGGGACGAUAAGACCCUAUAAAACUUAACAUAAAUCUUAUUAGGUAGUGAAUUAUUAUUAAUAUAACUUUUUAAAAUUUGUGUUGUAUUGGGGCGAUAUAGAUAUAAAAGUAUAAGUAACUGUCUUAAAAAAUCUAUAAUAAUACUUAUUAUUUGACCCUUCUCUGAGGAUUAAAAGAAUAAGUUACUUUAGGGAUAACAGCGUAAUUUACUCUGAGAGUUCUUAUCGACGAGUUUAGUUGCGACCUCGAUGUUGAAUUAAAAUUUCUGUUAGAUGUAGCAGUUUAGCUGGUGGGUCUGUUCGACCUUUAAAAUUUUACAUGAUUUGAGUUCAAACCGGUGCGAGCCAGGUUGGGUUUCUAUCUAA
rnacentral:rRNA from 1 species